rnacentral:lncRNA from 1 species
GGUGCUUCAUUGUAAAUGAGCAACAUCAAGGUCUCUGAUUUAAAUCCCUCCCUCCACAAAGGCCCCUCCUUCCCUCCAACUUCAUGAUCCCAUGAUAUUACCAUGCACAUACUGCACUUCUAAAGCUGUCCUUAAAACGGGCUUGGUCUGGAAUGGCUUUGAAAUUAAGAACUUCAAAAAAGUGGAUUGGCAGACCUUCAAACAGAGGACUGAAAGAGGGCUUAGGUGAAAGCAGAUAAUGUACAUUAUAUACCUUCUGGAAGGCCAGGCCUAUCUUUAAGUAGCAUGACAGGAGAAGGUCAUGAAAAAGGAUCUCCCUCCACCUGAUCCCACAGCACUAAAGUUCUGCAUUGCAAAUCUCUCUAACGUCACAAUUGUUAUGGCCCUAGUAUAAUAAAUCUUUAUUCUGGGCAUGGCACAACUGCAUGCAGUGACCAAAAGUUAAUGCUAUGAUGCCAGAAUAAAUUUGAGAAAUUAUCUGACACAGACCAGUCCAGAAUUCAGAUAGGGUGCAGAGCAGGGGAAAACAUAAAAGAAUGAAAUGGGGGAAGUGUUUGUAUCUCUAGAAAUCAUACAGGGCGAGGAAAUGAAACCAUAACCACAUUUCAGGAUCUCUUGGUGUGGUAGCAUUUUUUUUGUCCAAGAGGAGACAGUUCACUACAGACACACCACAGGAAACAACAUCUUGUUUCUCUCUCUGUUUGUUCCAGUCCUCGAAGCCUCCUCAGAAGAAGCAAAGCAAUAUUUGGACCAGAAUUAUAUUGUUGCUCUGUGUGACUCCAUCCGCUAGACGCUGGGAACAAAUAGACUCUGGUGGCCAGAGUCGACACCGUCACCAGUCAUCGAGCUGUUACAUACCAAUGAACAUCAACAGGGAGUGAUUGCUGAAGAUUGCAAUGAUGGAAAGCUGUUGGGUUCAUCACAUGAUCAGCCUAACCUGAUUUACACCCCAUUGUUUUGUCUAGAGAGUCUGUUGUUAUCAAGUAUUUCUUGGCUUUGGCAGAAAAGCUGAUUUCCAUCUACCUUUUGAAAGAGGAUGAUGGAUGGAAAUGCAUUUUUUGUAAGCUCCUGGAGUACAGCGAUAAUAAAUCAACCUAACAUGCAUUAAAAGAGCCUUCU